GUGCCUUCAUGUCUCAAGAUUACGCCAUGCAUGUCUAGUACACACGAGGCGGUACAGUUGCAAACUGCGAAUCGGCUCAUUAAAUCAGUUAUGGUUCCUUUGGUCGCUCCCCUCCCGUUACUUGGAUAACUGUGGUAAUUCUAGAGCUAAUACAUGCCGACGAGCGCCGACCUCCGGGGACGCGUGCAUUUAUCAGACCAAAACCAACCCGGGCUCGCCCGGCGGCUUUGGUGACUCUAGAUAACCUCGAGCCGAUCGCACGCCCCCGUGGCGGCGACGACCCAUUCGAAUGUCUGCCCUAUCAACUUUCGAUGGUACUGUCUGUGCCUACCAUGGUGACCACGGGUAACGGGGAAUCAGGGUUCGAUUCCGGAGAGGGAGCCUGAGAAACGGCUACCACAUCCCAGGAAGGCAGCAGGCGCGCAAAUUACCCACUCCCGACCCGGGGAGGUAGUGACGAAAAAUAACAAUACAGGACUCUUUCGAGGGCCUGUAAUUGGAAUGAGUCCACUUUAAAUCCUUUAACGAAGAUCCAUUGGAGGGCAAGUCUGGUGCCAGCAGCCGCGGUAAUUCCAGCUCCAAUAGCGUAUAUUAGAGUUGCUGCACUUAAGAAGCUCCUACUUGGAUCUUGGGAUCGAUCUGGUCGAGCUCCUCUAGAGUAACUAACGCCUGUGGCCGAGCCCGGGUCUCUUUUGCCCCUCUAAACGCUUUACUGACCGGGACGCGGGGGGUCCGAAAGGGUUUAUUUUGUAUAAAAUUAGAGCGUUCAAACCGGUGGGGCGGCCGGGAAACCCCCCAUGGGAAAUAUUGGUGUUUGGACUGCCGCUUUUUUUUUUUGGGUUUUCCGAAACGGGGGGCCAUGUAUAAAAAAGGGAGCGUCUGUGUUGUUAUAAAACAAUU
rnacentral:rRNA from 1 species